CAGCAGCCGCGGUAAUACGUAGGUGGCAAGCGUUGUCCGGAAUUAUUGAGCGUAGAGGGCUCGCAGGCGGUUCCUUAAGUCUGAUGUGAAAGCCCCCGGCUCAACCGGGGAGGGUCAUUGGAAACUGGGAAACUUGAGUGCAGAAGAGGAGAGUGGAAUUCCACGUGUAGCGGUGAAAUGCGUAGAGAUGUGGAGGAACACCAGUGGCGAAGGCGACUCUCUGGUCUGUAACUGACGCUGAGGAGCGAAAGCGUGGGGAGCGAACAGGAUUAGAUACCCCCGUAGUCCCUGUCUCUUAUAA
rnacentral:rRNA from 1 species